CAUUGUAGAAUCCUGCCCAGCAGAAUGACCAAAGAA
rnacentral:rRNA from 2 species